UUGGAGGGCAAGUCUGGUGCCAGCAGCCGCGGUAAUUCCAGCUCCAAUAGCGUAUAUUAAAGUUGUUGCAGUUAAAAAGCUCGUAGUUGAAUUUCGGGGUUAGUAGGUUGGUCAUGCCACUGGUAUGUACUGGUCUCACUGAUCCCUCCUUCCUGAUGAGCCGUAAUGCCAUUAAUUUGGUGUUGCGAGGAAUCUGGACUGUUACUUUGAAAAAAUUAGAGUGUUUAAAGCAAGCUAACGCUUGAAUACAUUAGCAUGGAAUAAUGAAAUAGGACGUUCGAUCCUAUUUUGUUGGUUUCUAGGAUUGACGUAAUGAUUAAUAGGGAUAGUUGGGGGCAUUAGUAUUCAAUUGUCAGAGGUGAAAUUCUUGGAUUUAUUGAAGACUAACUACUGCGAAAGCAUUUGCCAAGGAUGUUUUCAUUAAUCAAGAACGAAAGUUAGGGGAUCGAAGACGAUCAGAUACCGUCGUAGUCUUAACCAUAAACUAUGCCGACUAGGGAUCGGAUGAUGUUAUUUUUAAUGACUCAUUCGGCGCCUUACGGGAAAC
rnacentral:rRNA from 1 species